rfam:Equus caballus chromosome 3, whole genome shotgun sequence.
GUGGCUGCCGGAUGGGUGCUCUCUACUAGUGCUGUGCAGAGGCUUUCACUGAGGCUGCUGUGAACCUGUAGGGUUUCCCCCCAGGCUACGGAGCCAG